UACGUAGGGGGCAAGCGUUGUCCGGAUUUAUUGGGCGUAAAGAGCUCGUAGGUGGUUCGGUAAGUCGGAUGUGAAAUCUCCAGGCUCAACCUGGAGGGGUCAUUCGAUACUGCCGUGACUAGAGGUCGGUAGGGGAGUGUGGAAUUCCUGGUGGAGCGGUGAAAUGCGCAGAUAUCAGGAGGAACCCCCGUAGCGAAGGCGGCCCUCUGGGCCGAUACUGACACUGAGGAGCGAAAGCGUGGGGAGCGAACAGG
rnacentral:rRNA from 1 species